rnacentral:rRNA from 1 species
AUUGAACGCUGGCGUCAGGCCUAACACAUGCAAGUCGAGCGAGCGGCGGACGGGUGAGUAAUGUCUGGGAAACUGCCUGAUGGAGGGGGAUAACUACUGGAAACGGUAGCUAAUACCGCAUACCAUCAGAUGUGCCCAGCUGGGCUUAGCUAGUAGGUGGGGUAACGGUUCACCUAGGCUACGAUCCCUAGCUGGUCUGAGAGGAUGACCAGCCACACUGGAACGGAGAAACGGUCCAGAGUCCUACGGGGGGCAGAAGUGGGGAAUAUUGCACAAUGGGCGCAAGCCUGAUGCAGCCAUGCCGCGUGUGUGAAGAAGGCCUUCGGGUUGUAAAGCACUUUCAGCGGGGGGGCGUUACCCGCAGAAGAAGCACCGGCUAACUCCGUGCCAGCAGCCGCGGUAAUUC